AAGCCCAUGAGAGCUCAGUGAUGGUGGUGGUGGUGCGGGUUGGCGGGGGGGGAUGCUGUGUCUGUAUGGCUGAGGAUGUAUUACAGAGGCGGGCUGGUCUUCAUGUAACUAGAGAGCUUCUGUAAUCUGCAAAGGGGGAAGACGGAGAGGGAGUAAGAGGAGGUACCCUGUGUAUUUCCCAGCCACGCUCUUCCCAAGAGGAGGCCGCCGGGAGCCCCCCUCGCUGAUCCCCCCCUCCCCUCCCCAAUCUCCCUCCAGCGCAAGCACGUCAAGGAAUGAUGAAAAAAAAUAAUUCUGCAAAAAGGGGGCAACAGGAUGGAAACCAGCAAUCUGUGCAGCCAGAGAAGGUCGGCUGGGUGCGGAAAUUUUGCGGGAAAGGCAUUUUUAGAGAAAUCUGGAAAAACCGUUAUGUGGUUUUGAAGGGAGAUCAGCUUUACAUCUCAGAGAAGGAGGUAAAAGAUGAAAAAAAUAUACAGGAAAUGUUUGACCUGAGUGAUUAUGAGAAAUGCGAAGAGCUCAGGAAGUCCAAAAGCAGAAGCAAAAAGAACCACAGCAAAUUUACCCUCGCCCACUCCAGACAGCCUGGAAACACGGCACCAAAUCUGAUCUUCCUGGCUGUGAGUCCAGAAGAGAAGGAGUCCUGGAUUAAUGCCCUCAACUCUGCAAUCACACGUGCUAAAAACCGCAUCUUAGAUGAGGUUACUGUGGAAGAGGACAGCUACCUCGCCCACCCAACACGUGACAGAGCAAAAAUACAGCACUCCCGACGCCCUCCAACGCGGGGACAUCUGAUGGCUGUGGCAUCUACCUCAACCUCUGAUGGCAUGCUGACACUCGACCUGAUCCAGGAGGAAGACGCCUCUCCAGAGGAUCACAGCACCUGCGAAAAGAGCUUCCGGGUGGAUCUGGAUAAGUCAGUGGCACAUCUUACUGCUGGACGGCGCCGGUCGGAUUCGGAGAACGUCAAGUCAUCAGAGACGGGCCGGACGGGGAGCCUCCCGAGACGGGAGGUGACCUCAUGGGACAGAUCUGGGCAGCGCAAUGACUCCUUUGACAAAGGGACCAUGUACACACCACAGGUCCCCAAAAAGCUCUCGCACUCAGAAAAGAAUAAAUGUGCCUCCAUGGAAGAAAUUCUGUCUCGACGGGACUCUUCCACGCACCGGGCGGUGCUGAGGAGGGGGCUGGAGGCUCAGUUUGCCUCAGCAGAACCAGAGCAGCUGUCCCGGAUACAAGAACUGGUUGCACUGAAACUGGAAAAAACUCAGGAACUGCUGACAGAGGUGAAGGGCUACGGCGAAGGCAAGAGAAAGACCAAGGAUUCCAACACCAGCACCACCACCACCACCUCUUCUUCCUCAUCAUCUUCCAAGUCGGACUCUGAAAGGAUCCUGCAGGAAUCGGAGAGGUUGCUGGGGGAGGCUUCCUCCACCUGGAGCCAAGCCAAGAGGGUGUUGCAGGAGAUCAAAGAGUUGAGGGACCUGUACAAACAGUUUGAACUGCAGCAGUCGGACUCAAAACCCAAACAGAGCUCACAGUCUCAGUACAGGAAGAGCAUGAUGUGAAGGCAAGCCUUGGGAUUGGGAGGGAGGGCCAGGGGAGGGCGGCCAUUUGGUCUUUUUUUUUUUAAUUAUUAUUAUUUACAGUGUUCAAAAGAGUGAAAAGGUGCCUGUUCUCACCCAAAUUUGCUUCUCAGAGCUUGAACCCUUCCUUUCCUCCAUCACAUCCCCUUAUGAAACAACCCUGUGUUCCAAUAAAUUCAGUUACAGUUUAUACCUCCUUUUUUCAAGAGCACCCUUUGCACCGCAGGCCCCCAACUUCUGUCGUGCUUGGAGGAUGGAAGAAAGCACCACUUCCUAGAAAAUGCCCCUGCAUGCCUGGAGCAGCACGUGCAUAACAACGGGGACAGAUGCUCUUGUGCUGUACAAGCCCUGGCUUUGCUGCUCUAACGUCUGAGCUGUAUCCUGCAUUACAGCUCCUUGACCAAGAGUCUCGUCUUGUUCCCUCACUGUCCUCUUGGAAAUAAAUGACAAAAAAAAAAAAAAAAAGGUGUCCGUCCCAGCAAAUGCUUGGAAGUCCCCAUUAUCCAGGAACUGUCUUGAAGAUGCUUGGAAGUUCAGGCUGACCUCAAGUUUUACGCGAGUUGUGAGAGGCGCUCGCUGGACUGCAGCUAGCGGGGUUCUGUCCUGGCACAGGUCCCUUUUGUGAACUCCUGGGGUCGGCAGCCGUUAUUCUUGUGGUACAUAUACAGCCCUCCGGAAGGAGGGCAACAGCUGUCAUCUACAGUAUUAUGCAAACGUUUACAAUGAAAAACAUUAACAAUGAAAUGGCAAAUCCACUCGGAGCACUGAGCGCUUCAGCGCUCUCAAAACUACUCCCUUCCUCCUCCUCGGUCUUCCCCUGCGAAGCCCACCAGCUGAGCAGUACAUCUGGGUCUGGGAGGAACCCCCGAUUUUCGUAGAACUGGUCCCCUGAGCCACCUCCCAGUGAAAAGGAAGACGACUGCCUCUUUGCUCCUCUCCUUCACACUCUCCAUCAUUUCUGUCGCAGUUUGCAUUUGCAUUUCAGCAGCGCCUGGUUUCCAAAGCUCCUCCGGUCUCAUUCUCUGCUCAGAAGGGUGAUGAGAGAGCAGGAGCUGUGUGAUCAACCAGGGGCUCUCACUUCGUGUAGCUGCAAGAUGCUCGUCAAGGUCAGGUUCCGUCAAACACCCCCUACGACCCCUACACACACAACCUUACCCUGAGCUAUCUGUCUGGCAUCAGACAGGCAGAAAGAGCAAGGUUACGCUGUGCAGAGAUAUUGCCAGGUCCUGAAGGCAGAGUGGUCGCCCCCACUGUUCUGCAGCCCGACACACCGCUGGGUUCAGCGGCUCCCAGGCUAGUUUAGAGCUACACGGGGCUAGCUGAAACAACUGGAACACUGGACACGCUGUUGGGACAGAGCCACGGGCCCUUCCCUACCUGUCAGUUCAGAGUGCACCUAGAUGACAAAAGCGUAUCCCUUGCAUCAAUGCUGUCAUUGUGUCCGGUGUUCAAGCGUUCGGGGUCUAGAGGAGAGCGGGGGAUUCUUUAGUUGGGUGACAACUUCAUUUUGGCUUCACUCGGCACAGAGCACAGCACACGGCAGGGUGUAAGCUCUUUCCUGAAGCACCCCUGCCACGUACCUGUUUCUUGGGUGUUAAAACUUUGAGCAUUAGUUAAGACUCGACAAAUUCCCCUCCCCAAAUCCUUCUUUCUGCACAGCUGUAAUGUGCUAAGGAACCUGCCCUUGAUCCAGCUGUGGAAUAUUUUUUAAUUUAAAAUUUAAAAGCUUGUACCUGCCUGCCUGCUUUUUCAAUAGGAAACAACUUUCCUUGAUUCCAUUGCAGGAAAACAGUUCACAGCUCCCCUGACCCUCCCUAAAAAGUCAGAAAGCCCCCUUAAAGAAAACUUCCUCCCAAUUUAUAAGUGGCACUGGAGGACAGGGGACCCCAGUGCCUGGUGAGAGACCCUCAGCAGAGCUCUGCUCACAGGGAUUUGCAUCACAAGCUCCCCGCUGCCUGCUCACGCACCAGCGUGCCAAUACCGGGCAGGCAGUAAAUAAACAAGGCACCAGCCUUUCUCCUGCUCUCCCUCAGGGCCCUGUCAGAUUGUUUCAGCCACAUACUCCUAGAAACUCAAAGGUUACAUAUUUCUGGGAAUUUCACCUCCACAUCUGGGCCCUGAGAGGUGAAGACAUCGACCAUCCAACCCACCGGCUCCUCCCUACCCACCAAACUGGUGCUGAAUUUCAUUCAGCAAAGCUGAAGAAGCUUAGGGCCCCCUGUCCUCCCCUCAGAGUAAAUAACAAAUGGUUUCCAGAGGACUGGGAGCUAUUUGUAUCUGAGCUGCAAGAACCCAUAGUGAACAAAAGGCCCCGGGAAGAACCGAACAGUGACUGUGAUGUAAAUGAAGCAAAGCUGGGGGAGAUGGGGUGGGAAAAGAGACGGUUUAGAGACAAUUAUAUGAGUCUUUAAAAAACAAGCAGGCAACACCGCAGAUAAGCGUGCUCUAGGAGACUGCGCUGAGCUUGUUCAAGGAGUGCAUGUACUAGUUGAAGGAAGGAUGGGAGAGGGAAGGGAGGAAUGCUGUUCCUGCCAUCAUUACAUCUCUUUUCUGUUAAAGAAACCGAGUGGAGGGCAGGAGGAGCAGAAAAAACAGCUGCGGGCUGAGAAGCUCCCAGGCUCUCACCUCCUUCACUGAUACGACAGAUCUGAGCAUGUGCUUAAGCAUUUGACUGAAUCUGGCUCCCCUAGCAGAGCCUGCGGAUUUGCUCUCCAUGCUGCAACAGGGUUGGUGUGAUGCUGAAGUGUCAGGGCUUUGUGUCACAGCCAGCCCAUCCGAUAAUCCAGGCCAAUUCCUGGCCCUUCUGGCAAAAGCAAAGGAUCUCAGGGACUCAAGAGUUUUAGUUAUUUGCUGGAAGGUUUGUUUAGGACAUGUUGACCUGCUAACUCAUCAAAACACCAAAAGCUCCAGAAGCUGCUCUGCUAGGCCAGAUAAUUAACAGCCACAAAUGACCCUGAGUUGCACCAACUUCCACAGAGCUGCGUUAACUUAUAUCAACCAUAAAACUUGUAGGAAUAUGUGCAAGGGGACCACUGGCAAGGACUGAUGCUGGGGUCAGGCAGUCGUACACCUGAAGGAUGCUACAACACUUGCAAUCCAUGCUGAGAAGCUUGCUAGGCUGUAGCAGCUCUGCCCACCUUGGAAAUCCCUGCUGCGCAAGGAGCUCACUGACCCCAGGGUUGUGUCUCCCGUUUUACUUGGAAAUCCAAAGAGCCUCUACACUGAGCUUUGAUUCAUCACCCAGCAAAGACCAGCUCCAGGAGUGGCUUGAUCUUCAAAGCACAAGGAAGUGUAGAUAUUAGAGAAUGGUUUAAAGUCCAUUUAAUCAGAAUUCCCCAGGAUAAACCUUUAUGUCUGCUUUGCUAUGUAAGAAAGGAACAUUAUCUUCUUUUACUUUUCUAUAUCGAGUAAUCGAAGGAAUCAAGUCAUUUGCACACCAAGACAGUGAAUGGAAAUCUGACCCUGAACUUUAUGAAAACUCAUGUCUAAUGAGCCAAGUGGGUUUAUCCCCUAAUGAGUCAUGGCUCACAGCAAAACGAGAGUUUUCAAAAAAGCCAGAAGGGAAUGGAAGGUCCCUCCCUUCUCUGAGAAUGCCUACAUGGUUUAGGAAUACAAAUGCCAUUGAAAGUCAGGGAUUCAUUUUGCCUACCUUUAGUCAUUGAGCUUCCUUCCCCAGAAAUGGGAUCUCCAGCAGAUCUAAACUAUUUUAGGUGCUUAUCUUAGGAUGAAUACAUCACCUUCUACAGGUACUGAUUUCUUUCCGUUGACUGUAUGCAAGCCCAAAGAGUUAAAAGUUGGAGGAGAUAAUUCUUGUCCAUAAGCAGAACAUCAUGUCAUGUCUCUAACUCACUCAAACUCCUUGGAAAGCCUUGGUUUCCUCAUUUAUUGUACAAAGGGGCUUUGAAGGUGCUAUUUUUUGCUGUAACUGCUCAAAAGAGUAUUUGCAACCAUGAAACUGAUUUUAUUGUUGCUUGAUGUAUCAAUUCUUUUCCUCUCUGACUUGUAUUUCAGGUUCUCCUUUCCUCUUCUUUGAAAGGGGA